GCUCGGAGGGCGCUGCCCGCCGGCGGAAGUGUGACGGAGGGAGUGGGGCGCGCGCCGCCCGCGGGGAAUUCCCGGGGGCGCCGGCGGCUGGACGGAAAGCCCCCGCGGCGAAGUUUGCAAUGGAUUGGAAAUUUUGAACAUUUGGUCCUUCACCACAGAUAGUUUUAGAAGCACUGACUGAUUAAGGUAUAAAGGAAAGCACCACCUGGAUCAAGACCUAGGCCGUUUCCUUCUCAGCCCAUUAUCGUCCACCUACCAGGAACAGGAGGACAGCUGUCUCAGUGACCUCAAUGACCACAGCAGGACAACUGUCUCAGUGACCUCAGUGACCACAGCAGGACAACUGUCUCAGUGACCUCAGAUGGUCAAAGAUUGACUGGACCAUGGGGCAUCAACACUCCAACACUUUCGAUUCGCUCUGUGGGAGUGCUGACCCAUCUCCUGAAACCAGAAAAUGUAAGCAGAGAAUCGUAGGUCUUCACAGCAUCCUUCGAGGUGUGGAGGUGUGCAAGAAGUUUUAGCAAGAGAAGAAAAAUUUGAUCUACAGACUCAAAGAAAUCUGAUUGCAGAAUACACUUUGAAAUCAUGCAUUGUGGACUUAAUCUCUUUGCACAAACUCAAGAGUCCUCUAGCUAAUUCCUUUCCCAAUGAAGGAGCCAAUCAAUGUUCUUUCAGGGGAGAAAAUUACUAGAGAGCCUGUGGACCAUGACUUCCUAAAGCACCCAGCACAAUGCCUGGCUUGGCUGAGGAACUCGGGAACUGUGUGUUGAAUGAAUGUGAAAUGCAUAGUGGAAGAAGUUAUUUCAAAUAUCAUGGUGCACCUAGAAAUAUGUGAAUAAACACAGCAUCACCACAAAUAACUGUUUUAAACAGAAUGACGAAUAUUGAAUUUUUAUACAUCCUAUGUCCAUUAGGGGAAUAGAAGAAGCAUAGCAGGAGGAGCCAUCAGUGAGAGGGUGUGUUCUAUGUGCCGGCUUUCUUCACUCCCUCCCUCAACCAGCGUGCACUCAAGAUCAUCACUUCACCUGCUCUCAAGUCCUGCCCAGUGUUCUUUGGUUUGAACUACUGUCUUUCCCACACCUCGAAGUGGGCUGCUAGAUCCACUAUCUCUGCACAGCUCCCACGGAGACUUCUCUGGAGGCAUGCCACACAAACUUCGCUGGCUCCCUCCCUGUCCCAGGCUAACAGAGAACUGUGGAAAUGUCCCCACACUGCCCAGCCCUGUGCGAUGCCACACGUGGUCCAAGCUGCCUGGCCCCUUUGUCCAACAACUGCUACAAAGUGGGUAACGUGUUGGAACAAGUCUGGCGGGUUCCUCCCAGGAUGCAGACAGAGUAAGAAGUGAAGUCUCAAGGAUGCGUGUUUCACUUCCUCCCUGCCCCUCCCGACGCUGGGUCAUAGUCCAGCUUGGAGGCUUCGCACAGUCCAAGCCAGUUGGCUUCCCGAGAAAUCACAAAGCAAAUAGAAUUAGCUUGUAUAUUUACACUGAGUCAUCACUCAACAUGCAUUUAUGAAUGCCUCUCCACAUGCAAACCGAAGCAGUUACCUACCUGGGGGACACCGGAGACUCUGGCUGUGGGAGGAUUCACGAGAAGCUUAACAAUCCAGUUAGGGAGCUAGACAAGGUUGACAUCUUGGGCAGGAAGGAAACCUUCCCUGUACCGUCAGCUCAAGACUGACUUCUGCAAGAGAGCUAAAUAAACAUGGUGGACAAGGAGGCUGGGACCAUCUGCCUCUCUCUGGAGCAGCAUUGCCCCCUUGCUGCCACCAUGAACCAGAAUUGCUAUCUUUUUCUCACUGCACUUUUUGCUCCCAGUACAAAGCCACGUAUCCUACCCUCUUCCUUGCUCCUUUCUCACUCUCCUUCCCUCAGGCUCAUUGACUGUUUCAGUGGCAGCUUCCAGGAGAAAUGGAGCGCAUUGUUCAGCAAGGAGGAAACAAUAACCAUCUAGAAUCCUCAACAUUGAUUUGGAACCCACUUUAACAUGGUUUAAAUCAUGGCUAAACAAUAAACAAGGGGCAGAGACUGACGGAAAGAGAAAAGGGGCUCAUCUCGUGAGGCUGUGGAGACAAACCAGAAUCUACCGAGUGCACACUGAGCUCUGGGCUGGGUCCUGAGGAAAACAUACAAAACUUAAAACUAGUUUUUUGCCUUCAGGAAUGUAGAGUCUAGCUGGGGAGAAGAGGCAUGGUAAUCGUUUAUGAGACAUGAUGAGACAGUUUAUGGCUGUCACCAGGACAUCACUUCUCUUCCAUCUCCAUAGUAUAGAGCCCUCUUUCCUGACUCCCAUGGGACCUGGAAAUCCAUAUGCAGUCUCUCUUCCUGCCCAAGAGAGUAUGCUGGGAGCAGAAGACCACCAUGCCCGGGUGAGGGGAGUCAGGGCCAUCUACGGAUGCUGCCUCAGGCAGCGUGGCCUGUGGCAGCGGACUCUCUCCCUGUUCAGUUCACAGCCAGUUCCAGUGCCACAAAUGGGGCCCCACGCUUGGACACGUUGUGUGCAGAUUCUCGGUCUCAGAGUCCUGACCGCUCUUCCGUCUCUGCUCCCCCAGCAAUUUCCUCCCCAGGGUCUGGAAAUGUCCUCUCACAGAUCUUUAAAACCCACAAUUAUGACAUCUGUGUUCUCAGGAACAUGGAACCAUCUUCCUAUUCUCCUAAGGGUGGCUGCUUGAUGAUGAUUACUAUCUGAAGGACCACAAGGGGAUGUCCUGUCACAUCUUUUCUUAAAGGGAAGAAAAAUAGAGAAAGAAAGAAAACAAAAACACAAGAAUGGUCACUAUCAAGCAAGCGAAGAAAUAUGUUCUGAGCAGCAACAAAGUGGCAAACAUUUCCAUAUACCUUAUUCUGUUUGAUUCCCAUGGCAAAGGCCACAGAGUAGUUGUUGUUCUUCCCGUUUUAUUGAACAGAAAGCUGAGGCUCACGGGAGUUGAACAACUUGCUCCAAGUUGUGCAUUAAAUAGAGACAGUAUGGCACAUAUUUUCUGUUGCCCGGGCCAUUGUCCCUUCUACGGCACCACAGCUGCUCCUGGGCCAGAAGAGGAAGGAGUUCCUCUGGGUUGGAAUGUUCUGGGGGCAGUUUUGUGAGGAGAGUUAUUUGAACUGGCUCUUGACUGAAUUAUAGGCUUCGGCCAGACAGUGGAAGAAGGCAAGGCUAUUCCUGGACUGGGAGGACUGGCAUCUUGGAACCACAGGUUGGGAGAGUGGGCGGUGUGUUGGGAAGACGGUGUGUACACUGUUCUGGCUGCAGAGGAGGGUUCGUUCGUGUAAUGAAAUGGCGCCCAGCCAGAGCGAGGAGAACAAUGAAGCCUGCUUCUGCCACUGUUGUGACUUGGGAGCUUCGGGCCCCUCUGUGAAACGAGGGUCCACAGGGCUGACCUCCCUCACAGGCAGCCUGUGGCUCCGAAUCAUCAGUGACUGGGAAGUGGCGUGCUCCAUUGUCGAGGCAUGAUAUUAUAUCCACCAGCUACUCUGUGCAGUGAAUUUUUGUUCCACUGAAAUGAUUCUCUCAGUGUGAGCUCAAUGGCAACGGGCAUGAUGAUGGUUUUUCUGUGUUGCCAGAAACUAGGUCUGAAUUUCUUCCAGAGCCUCCUGCUCUAAAGCACCUCUUAUGAUUAAUUAACCUUUUGUGGAGUAACUAGGACAUCUGUGUGGGAUGAGAUGUACUUUGGUCAGACUUCAGUUUUCAGUUGUUCAGCAAGAGGAGAAUUAAUUAUAAGAGCUGAAUCUGAACAGAAGAUUGUUGGAGGAAAUCCAAAUGAAGCAAAACAUCGAAUUAUCAAUGAACAGGAAGGUUUUUUUUUUUUUAAUUGUUGUUAUUGUGGGAGUGAAUAAAAUGCUUAAUGCAAUACAAAUAAGAGGUAGUAACAACUUAAGAUGCCUGCUUUGAGUGUACACCUAAUGCAAGAAAUUUGAGAUAUUUGUGGUUUUGGAGAUAAAAUGCAAUGAACUAACCAAACUAGGCAAAUGGCAAACAGAGGCCAAGUUAGUGUUUAAAGUAAAUAUGCCUAUUCCCCUUUGAGGUAAUUGUUGGGUUGACUUUAACAAGGAUGUAUCUAGAAUCAUCUGGUGUUAUUACCACUGACAAACAACAACAAACACCUCUUGUCUAGAGAAGCAGGUUGGAUUAAGACACAAAGUAGGAGAUAAAAUGCAGGAAGCUAAAAACAGUGCGACGGUUUCCCAGUGCUCAGCUUUCUGAGGCGAAUCACCUCUGGUAUUUAGCUCACAUCUACAUGACACCGUCUCCCACAAAACCCUGAAGCCUGACCCAGCGGAGAUUCUAGCUUGACUGACUUAACUGUGAUGAGGGGUACCUUAGGGGGCAAUGUGGGAAAUCUCUACUCUCCAACAAAAUGAUCCCCAAUGUUGGUUGUCGCCCACAUUCACUGAUAACUUCUCUCCAAAUACUGUGUGAUGCUGUUUUGAUGAGGGAAUAUGAUUCCAGUUCAUGCUCGUAAAGACUGCCAGGCUUCCACUGGCAUGAAGAUGCUGUAUCCUUUCUUACCUAUUGCUCCUGCUGCUAUGAAAUAGUUUUCAUUCCUAGUUUCUUUCUCUCGACCUUGUGGCUUCUGCUGCAUCAUGUUAGUACUUGCUGCCCACGCUUUGUGGAUCUCUUGGUUUCUACAACUUUCUAUUUAAUAUUGUUGUUGGUGACAGUUCUUCAUGGGUCUCUUGCAUUUCUGCAUAUCUUGCAGGCAGAGGCAUUGACGGCCUUUGUUUUGGACCAUCUUUCCAUGGAUGUUUGUACAGUGAGCAGACUUGGGAGACAGUGACAGUGUCUCCCUCUGGAACAGAGGGAGGCUUUAUUUGCUGUUCAGUAUAACAGUGUCUCUCUUAGGGGCAAAGGUCGGGCAGGUUUGCUAGCAAGCCAUUAUAAAAGAUGUGGGUUUCCUAAGUUUGAGAUUCUUCAACUGUGAUGCAAACCCACUGCAUCACAUGGCUGCUCUGUGUCACUCCUUUGGGACCUACAGGGGUGAGGGACAAGGGGAACCAAGGCAAAUAUGAAGCCCACGCUACGUGCUGUGCUGUGAGUAAUGAGUCCUUUGUCUCUGACCCGCUUGUCUGCAUAUUCUGCCAGCAUCUGUGAAAGUGUGGCAGGCUAGAUUGUUAGCUUGCAAGGAAGGUGAGAUUUCUUCAUACUUCUUCACAUGUGUGUCCUACAUUCAAACUCCCUGAGAGGAUCUGACGGGGUGAGUCAGUCCCCAUCCAGGAUAGAGGCCCCUGUAGUGUUGAGCUCCUAUGCUGGACCACCUUGUAGGCCAGUUGAUGGAUGGCUGCCUCUGGAUCAGGUACUCCUGCCUGGACCCACCCUCUGUGGCCAACUUUUCCAGGUCACUUUGUUCACAUUUCCGGGCCUGUGAAUGAGGGCCAGGAACUCAUUAAGAGGGGCCAUGAGUUUGGCAAACCGUUUGAAGUUCUCAGAAGCAGACAUUGUAACUUGCACCUUUCAUAGGCUGUCCAGGGAAAUGUUGUUGAGAUAUAGUUAAUUCACCUCAACUCUCCUGCAUAUGCUAUUUGUGAACAAAGGUGAGUAUAUGCCUUUUUCUGCAACUUACCACUUCUCUGCCUAGAGAGGAAGCGUUUGGUAAAUCCUGUGUUCCUAAUACUGGGUGUUGGAGAUGAAUGCUCAGGUUCACUGUAGAGGUUUGCUCUUAGCGUUUAUUCCACCAUUGGAAGAGCAGCUAUAAGGAUGGCUGGGGUGACCUCCAUUACCAGGGUCAGGCAAGGACCCUGACUGGCCUAAAUCAAUUAGCCUCUUGUCUACUGUGAUUGAUGCAGAGGAGGGCCUGUGACUUGAGGGCAUUGCUCGGGAAGCUCUCUCUCUUUUUCCAGAUGACCUGGUAUGGGAAUGUGAACCCUAAACUCUAGCUUCCAUGUUUGUCACUGUCUUCAGUCAGAGUUCUCUAGGGCAACAUAACCAAUAGGAGAUACAUAUAUCCAUAUGUACAUGUGUGUAUCUCUCCAUAGAUGU